GUUCCUGAACCAGCCGCUGGGUCUGAGUGAACCGGCAAGCGUAACUGGCGGAACCGUCAUUGAUGGUCACAGCGUGAACCAUUCCGUCGCCGUCGAAGAGAUGGUGGCCGGCAGUUGGUUCAAAGAGAGGAUUGGCGCCGUUGCGAAGGUAAACGCCUUUAAUGCAAUCGGGGAUGGUUCCGGUAACGGGGAGGUUAUGUUUAACAGGUUGUUCAGGGACGGGAGCGAAAUUGCCG
rnacentral:misc_RNA from 1 species